GAACUGGUUUAGCUCAGUGGUUACUUCCUACAAAAAUCUCUUCUGAUUUCCUGUACUAUCCCUUCCCGGGAUCCAACCACGGGUGCUGUCCAGUGUAUUU
ensembl:vault_RNA Vault Vault RNA